GCGCCCGUAGCUCAACUGGAAAGAGCGUAGGUUUCCUAAACCUGAGGUUCCCCGUUCGAGUCGGGGCGGGCGCACCA
rnacentral:tRNA from 1 species